rnacentral:rRNA from 1 species
GACGAACGCUGGCGGCGUGCUUAACACAUGCAAGUCGAACGGAAAGGCCCCUUUGGGGGUCCUCGAGUGGCGAACGGGUGAGUAACACGUGAGUAACCUGCCCUUGACUUCGGGAUAACUUCAGGAAACUGGGGCUAAUACCGGAUAGGAAUCCUUGCUGCAUGGUGGGGGUUGGAAAGCUUCGGCGGUUUUGGAUGGACUCGCGGCUUAUCAGCUUGUUGGUGGGGUAGUGGCUUACCAAGGCUUUGACGGGUAGCCGGCCUGAGAGGGCGACCGGCCACAUUGGGACUGAGAUACGGCCCAGACUCCUACGGGAGGCAGCAGUGGGGAAGAUUGCACAAUGGGCGGAAGCCUGAUGCAGCAACGCCGCGGGCGGGAUGACGGCCUUCGGGUUGUAAACCGCUUUCAGCAGGGGCGAAGCUUGUGGUGACGGUACCUGCAGAAGAAGCACCGGCUAACUACGUG